UGUCUGGUAUAAAAGAGUUUCUUCUGCUAUACCAAUCAUGUCAGAAAUAGUCCUCUUUAUUUGCAACAGCAAGUUAUUUCCCAGAUAAAACAGAUUGACAGUAAAUGUAAUUACCUAGGCUCAGUUUCUCAAAAAAACAUUUUUAAUGUUAAGAUCUUAUUAAAUGGUAAGAGUUGUAGGUAAUGCCUGCUGAGUUCAAUUCUAAUUUGAACUACAACUCUGAAAUCCUACAAUCUUUAAUGAAUACAAUGAUUAUGAUAAUUCUGUGAUUUAGUUUAUUGAGUACUUUUAAUGCUUUCAGUACUUUUAUUUUGUAUAACAUUUACAAUGCAGAGCUUUCAUCCGUAACUUUUACAGUUACAAUUGCGUUACAUCUACAGUGUUGUAUUAAUACUUUUACUGAUAGAAAAGUUUUGAACGCUUCCUCAACAUAAACAUCUCAACAUAAACAUGAUUUAGUUUUAUAACAUGAUAUCGUUGUAGCAGUUUGUAUUCAUUUUUAUAAUUAUUUUGUUGAUAUUUUAGGGUAAUUGCAAUACUUUUCUUAGAUGAUUAUUGUACCUUAAAAUCUCUUCCUGUUGCAACCCUAAUUGCUUUCUAAGAUUUUAUCCUUUAGGUUGUGAUCUGAUGGUGAUGGAGUUGUUGGUGCAUCAAGUGGAAAUAUGUUCCUGAAGGCAAGACGCAGAAUGUGCAGGAAGAGGAGAGGGCACUGCAUUCAAGCACUUAGCAGCUUCCUGUCUCUGCUUGAUGAUGAUAAUGUGCUGUCUUCAAAAGAGUUCAGUUCAAAAGAAAAGGGCAGUCAUUCUGAGAGGCCUUCCACAUUUUCUCAGGGAGGAUUCAUCCAAACUUCUAAAUAUUGCUGAGACUACAGAGAGUGAGGAGUAAAUAUUGAUAUCUUGCUGAUAAGAGAAGAGGAGGAUGUCAUUGACUUUUCAGUGGUACUGGAAGAGCAGAUCAUCCUGAAUAGCAUUCCUGACUAACCUAAUGCGGUAGCUAUGCUUGUUGGUCUGUUUUUCGCACUUAAUAUUGAUUACCCCAAGGAACUGUGCUACACCUUCAAAGUCAUUCAGAAGGUUCUUAUGAACAUCGGAGGUGAACAGUGUUCUGCCGGGAUUUACAGACUCAGAAACUGACUCUUGUGUAAAACUCUGUAGGUGGUAAAGCAGCCAGUGGAUAUUCUAAGAGUGUGCUGUGUUUAUCUGAAACUGAGCAUAAUAAUUUUUUCAGAAACGGUUAAGAAGACUACAUGCGAAGUUCUGUAUAAUUGAAUUGAUCAGGUGUAAAUGGGUUAUUCAGAGUGGUUUAAAGGGAUUAAUUUUAGAGAAAUGUACAGGCUCACAAUUAUUUUAAUGGUCAUAGUUUUGUUUGCCAUCCAUAUCUAUUAUAAUAUCUUUUAUUUAGUUAGAUCUGAAGUGUUAGAUGUAUUAUUCAGUCUCAUUUGUCCACUCUUGACUUCUUUUCUUUAACAAAGUAAAGUUGCUGAAAAGUUCCAAAAUGUAAGGAUUUAUUCUGCAAGGUGUGUCGGUCUGUAUUCAGGAUACUAUGCAAGUUUUUUUCUGGUAUUUAUUUUCCCUCCGAAAAAUGUAUAGUAGUGGCAGAUUCUUAAACAAUGCACAGAACAAUGUGCUGCACUUAACACUAAUUAUAACUGUAAUCAAAUGUGCAGUUGGUCAGGGUGUUCUUUAAGUACUGAGGAAAUCCACAUUAUACUCAGAUGUGUAGUAUUGCUAAUUUUAUCAUGAUACGAUGAAAUAUUGUCAUAUUGCUCAGCUAAGCUAAGUUGUUAGCUUACACGUGCUUGUGAAAAGCUUAAUCCAUCCUUUUUUUAAAGCUUUUAUAGGCUGUUUUUCCCAGCUGAGUAACUGGAGUUCUGUACUGUUGUAUAACUAG